AAAUGCCGCACGGUGGGCUGAAAAUCGGCCUCCAUAGAAAUAGAAACCGAAGUCUUAAAUAUGAACUUUUUUUUAUUGGAAUAGCUUUUGUUAGGUUUUAUUAUGUCCCAAAAUUAAUCUUAGCUAAUUUGGUUGGAAAAAUAAUUUAUUAUAAUUUUUUUUCAAAAUCUUUGUAUGGCGCGUAUCAGAAAAAACGAGUUUUCUCCGAAAAUAAAAAGUUAACCGUAAUAUCCUGACAGAUGAUUUUAAAACCAAUUAUUCUUGAUUUUUCCACAUAAUUAGAAUUUUCCUACGGGGUGCACUUUUUUUUUUAAAAAUCGAUAUAUAUUUUUUAAUUUUUUUUAUUUUAUUUUUUAUUAUAAUACGGUUAUACUCGUUAUUUUGACUACAAAAAAUGAAUUUGAGUUUGAUCGAACCAAUAACUUACGCGUAGUGAAUUUUUGUUCUAAGCAAAUGUAUGGAGCGUACGAGUAAAACGGAUUUUUUUUCAAAAAUUAAAGGUAUACCGUAAUAUCCUUGCAGAUGAUUUAAGUACCAAUUAUUAAUGAUAUUUUGACAUAACGCGAACUUUUCUACCGUAUGCACUUAUUUAACAAAAAAUAAAAAACUUAUUUUUUCAUGCUGAAAUAGCUUUUUCUCAUUUUUUUAAUCAAAUAAAUAAUAAACAUACAAGAGUUACAAGUAGAAAAUUGAAAAUAAAACCAUUACAUCCUUUACAUUAUUACCCUUGUAUCCUCUUUAUUACAUUAUCUUUGUACUUAAUGAAACAAUAUUUAACAAAUUUGACAUAUUGACAACUGAUGAGUCUAAAAUUAAUGAUCUAACAUAUUAAAAACAUCCCUGUUCGAAUCUUGUCUCGUUUUUUUUUUGUGAGUGAUGCUCUCUGAACAUUCUGAAGUCUUUGUUGCGUGCCUCGGAUGCUUCUUCAGAGAGAUGACCAAUCGGUACAAUAUCAUUUUGUGCAAUGAUAUCUGUGCCAUGGAUCAGCAAUUUAUGCACUGUUGGGGGCAUCUUAUACCAACUGUAAAAUUUAAUAUAGUCGUCCGCUGUAUCUUUAAAAUAGGCUUUAAACUUUUCAGUGUCAAUUACUUCACCUGAUGUGACAGCUUGCAGAAUUACAGCAAAUCUCCGAAUCAGUUGUUUGUCCAGUCCAGUGAUAUUAGCUGUUUUUUCGGGAUCUUCGAAAAAUUUUCGUGCUGUGUUUCCAUCAUUCGUUGUUCCAGAACCUUGUUUUACUACAUCGACUAAAAGAUUUAGUUCGUCUUUGAAGCGAUCUUGAAUAAUCUUCUUCCGUAGUUCCAUCUUCUGUUUAAGGACCCUCUUUUCAGUUGCAUAAAAUUCUUUAAAGUCCAAUCGAUAUGCUAUAUGAAGAAGGCAUUCCAUGGUAUUGAUCCGGGCAUGUAAAGAUGAUAGUCCAAAUUCAUGUAAGGUAGUAUCAGGCACUGUUUUUUUCGAAACUUUGUCUAUAUUGUUCAUUUCAUUAGGCUUAGCUAAACAUAAAACGCAUGUUGCACUUGACUUAGCCUGUGAAAGAUAUGUGCAGAUUUUGCCAUCUACCAUCGUCAUCUUCAGCUUAUGUGUCACUUUGUUGUUCCUAUGUAUGUUCUGUGGGCACUAGGUCUUUGAUUUCAUCGUCCAUUUUUUUCUUUUGAGCUAGAACAAAGUUUUUGUUCUCUUUAGUAAAUGUAAAUUGCUUUGGACGACAAUAUGAAGCAGAACAUGGUUUUGGAUUUGUCCAAAUUGUUUUGUCGCCAGAGAUAAGCUUUAGUGGCACUAAAGUCGUCAUAAAAAUGCUUGAGUCAUCUUGUUCACUGCCACCAAUUUUCUGCUUGUACCGGCUUUUACUGGAAGCACCGUCAAAUCCCCAUUUAGAAAUUAAACUUAACUGCAUGUCUUCUACUUGUUCCUGUAAACUAUUCAAAAUUCGUGUAACUGUUAAAUCCAGCAAAUGCAAUGUUAUCUCACACGAAAAAUCCGUUACAGUAACAGAUUGCGUUGGUGGAUAACAAUCUAAUUUAGCCUUCUGCACUUUAUAAUACGAUGGGUAUAAGUUUGAAGCACCCUCUCUGAUGGCUGUCUCUCGUAAAGUUAUGAAUUGCCAUUUACAUAACUUCAAAGAAAUCAGUAGACCUAAUGCCUUCUCUGCUGUAAGUGACGCGGUAGAACCAGGCUUCUUGAUGAUUGCAGUGAAUUUCUGGACUGCUUCUGGGUUCUUUAACAUAUAUUCUAUCAAUGAUGCAAUUUCACCCCGACCAUCUUCUUUUAAAAGCUUUACAGCUGAAAACACCACUUCGUCUGUUUUCAACGCUUAGAUCGCUGCAUCUGUUUUUUUUUCUGCUUCGUUCCGAGGUCUUCGAAUGGUUUACGUUUCAAUCGCGUCAUGGUUCCAGUUGAUGAUGUGCUUAGUGUAUGAGGAAUGAGAUCACUGCUGGUUGAUGCGUGGGCUAACUGAAGAUCCAACUGAAGAUAAAAGCAACUUGGCCAGUCAAUAUUUGCUUCUAACCAAGAUCCAUACAUUGUUCUAAAUUUUUCUGUGUUCCGUUGGCUUUUCUUCCAUCUGUCAGUAGCAGCUCUUGUAAAUCUUCGGCAAAAUUUUUUCAAGGUGUCACGAUCUUCUUCUGAUAGGUUAAGGUUUGAUUUAGUUAGCACUAUUUCAAACAAAGCUUCGUGAUUUAAACUAGAUCCUUGAGAUUUUAGGAUAACAAACAAGUCCAAGUUCGUAAUAAGACUGUCCAUGGUUUAUGGUCGUGUAAGUUAGCGGUUAAGAAGCUCAAGAUGAACUAAAAUAUAAAAUGUACCCCUUACCUAUUUAUUGCUCGUACUAAUGAACACCACCAUUCUACGAGUAUAUCAUUGCUAUUAUAAUUAGUUUUACGUCUAAUUAUAAGCAUAAUGAUUAAAACCUUAAUGAUUAAACUGCAUUCAUAAUAUCUACUAACGAUUGUAACCGGACCUCAUUAAUGAUCAUUAAUUUUAGACUCAUAAGUUGUCAAUGUGUCAUUUGUUAAAUACUGUUUCAUUAAGUACAAAGAUAAUGUAAUAAAGAGGAUACAAGGGUAAUAAUGUAAAGGAUGUAAUGGUUUUAUUUUCAAUUUUCUACUUGUAACUCUUGUAUGUUUAUUAUUUAUUUGAUUAAAACAAUGAGAAAAAGCUAUUUCAGCAUGAAAAAAUAA